rnacentral:rRNA from 1 species
CCUACGGGAUGCAGCAGUGAGGAAUAUUGGUCAAUGGCCGCAGGGCUGAACCAGCCAAGUCGCGUGAGGGAUGACGGUCCUAUGGAUUGUAAACCUCUUUUGUCAGGGAGCAAAGGGCGCCACGUGUGGCGCUUUGCGCGUACCUGAAGAACAAGCAUCGGCUAACUCCGUGCCAGCAGCCGCGGUAAUACGGAGGAGGCGAGCGUUAUCCGGAGUUAUUGGGUUUAAAGGGUGCGCAGGCGGAAUGUCAAGUCAGCGGUAAAAUUUCGGGGCUCAACCCCGUCGUGCCGUUGAACCUGGCGGUCUGGAGUGAGCGAGAAGUAUGCGGAAUGCGUGGUGUAGCGGUGAAAUGCAUAGAUAUCACGCAGAACUCCGAUUGCGAAGGCAGCAUACCGGCGCUCAACUGACGCUCAUGCACGAAAGCGUGGGUAUCGAACAGGAUUAGAUACCCGUGUAGUC